AUAAACUCGUACAAAGCGGUGGCCCUACUCCCCACCUUUUCUUCUUCUCCAGGUGGUUUAGGUUUUCUCACUGCAGUUGCUUGAAUGGCUCCUUCAUCUGGAGGUUUACUUCAUGUGGAUACAAAGUCUAAUGGCAUGAGUGGAGUAAGAAAAAGUAACACCUAAACAGUCGGCCAAACGCGCUCCUUUUCGUGUGAAAUUUUGAGGAAAAGUUCUACUCGACACGAGGAAUAUUCCUACGAUGACUGAUUUCGUUUUCAACAGUCGGAUUGUUAGAGCUGUGAUGCAGAUGUGACUCCUGAGAAUCCAUAGUUGGGGUAAGGGCGGCUUCAGGAUGCCCUAGGAGAUUUUGGAGUAGCGUAGUGAAUUGUAGUGUAUUUGUUAUAUUGGUUUAUUUUAGAACUUGUACUAGCAAACUUUGAAACUAUAUAUUUGUAAUGAGACUUUCUUCUGAUUAAUUUACUCAAUUGUGAACUUUUAUUUC